rnacentral:rRNA from 1 species
AUAGGAAAUUGUUAGUGGCAGACGGGUGAGUAAUGCGUAGGAAUCUACCUAGUAGUACGGAAUAGCCAUUAGAAAUGGUGGGUAAUACUGUAUAAUCCCCGAGGGGGAAAGAUUUAUCGCUAUUAGAUGAGCCUACGUUAGAUUAGCUAGUUGGUGAGGUAAUGGCUUACCAAGGCUAUGAUCUAUAGCUGGUCUGAGAGGACGAUCAGCCACACUGGAACUGAGAUACGGUCCAGACUCCUACGGGAGGCAGCAGUGGGGAAUAUUGGACAAUGGGCGAAAGCCUGAUCCAGCUAUGCCGCGUGAGUGAAGAAGGCCUUCGGGUUGUAAAACUCUUUCAAUAGGGAAGAUAAU